rnacentral:rRNA from 1 species
GGGUAACCUCCUGGGAAGUCCUCGUGUUGCAUCCCC